rnacentral:tRNA from 1 species
GUUGUGGCUCAGUGGCAGAGCACUCGCCUAGCACAGGUGGGGCACUGGGUUCAAUCCUCAGCACCACA